UAAGAUUUGACUCUGGAGAUUUAAGCUUUAUUUAUGUUCUUGAAUUGUGAUUUAGUUUCUCGGUUGUUUAGAAUCCAAUAAAUUGAAAACUGGGUUGCUUAAUAUGAAUAUACUAUACUAAUGGUAGUGUUGUGGUUUGAAUUGAUAAAUAUAAAAUCACCAUUGGUAUAUAUGUAAUUCUUAGCUCAAAGCUCAAGUAUUUGGAGGAGAUGGUUUUACUGCUGAUUAAGCAAGAAAAAUUGGGUUAUGUUGAAGGAUUUGAAGCUGCUUUAAAUUGGGCUCUUUUUUCGGCCCACAUGUAGGGAAUUGAAUUCGAAUUCGUGUUAUGUUUGAACUGAAUUAUUGGUUUGUAAUGAUUCAAAUGUUCAACUCAAUCUGUUAAUUUUAGGCACAAAAAAAAAAUUAAAACAAGGGAAAUGAUCAAUGUAGUCUCUAUCGUCAGAGAGAGAGAGAGAGAGAGAGAGAGAGAGAGAGAGAGAGAGAGAGAGAGGGCAAACAAUAUAGACAAGAGACUCAACUUUGAACUUUCCCAAAUAUGAAAUAAGGAGUUUCCAAAGUUUCAAGGUGCAACCAUCAUACAUAACAUACAUUAAUUUCUUUUGUACCCUGAUUUUUAGACUCUUACCUGUUGCUGGAGUUUUUGUUCUAAUUGCUCACUGGGCAUUGCUCUUCCUUUCUUCAGGUUUCUUUUAAACCUCAAGAGUGAUGGCGAUAUCAUCGAUGCUCUUACAGUUGUUGGAGGAAGAGUUCAAUACUUUAAUUAAUAAGAAGGAUCAAAUGCAUAUUGAAACAAAAAUCAGAAAUAUGCGAUUUAUUGGAGAACUUUGCAAGUUUAAAAUUGCUCCUGUCAGCUUGAUUUUUAGCAGUCUAAAGGUUGAAAAGCCUUGGAAGAGAAGAGAGAGAACGGAGGAGAGAUAAUACCCGAUUCAUGCCACCAUCGAUUGAGAAAUCCUCUUCCAUAAAUGAGAUCAAUUGCAGAAACAGCUGCCCUUCUGCUCAUCUUCCUUAAUCGGUCACAUUGGAUUUGAAAAAAAAGGAUGAAUGGAGUUUGCGAUUUUACUGCAAAUUUUAUGCUGAUUUCUUUUGUACUGAUUCGCUACCCAUUUCUUAUAAUGUGCUAAAAGCUACUGAUUUCUUCAAUUUAAUCUUUGGGCUUGAAAGUAAUCUUUGGGCUGAAAAUGUUUUGG